rnacentral:rRNA from 1 species
CAGCGAAAUGCGAUAAGUAAUGUGAAUUGCAGAAUUCAGUGAAUCAUCGAAUCUUUGAACGCACCUUGCGCCCUUUGGCUAUUCUGAAGGGCAUGCCUGUUUGAGUAUCAUGAACACCUCAACUCUCAUGGUUUGCCAUGAUGAGCUUGGACUUUGGGGGUCUUGCUGGCCCAUGGUCGGCUCCUCUCAAAUGGAUCAGCUUCCCAGUGUUUGGUGGCAUCCCAGGUGUGAUAACUAUCUACGCUUGUGGUUUUCCGUCAGGCAACCUUCAGUGAUGGAGGUUCGCUGGGGCUCACAAAUGUCUCUCCUCAGCGAGGACAGCUUUUUGGACGUUUGAUCUCAAAUCAGGUAGGACUACCCGCUGAACUUAAGCAUAUCAAUAAGCGGAGGAAAAGAAACU